rnacentral:rRNA from 1 species
UACGGAGGAGGCAAGCGUUAUCCGGAAUUAUUGGGCGUAAAGCGUCCGUAGGUGGCUAGUCAAGUCUGCGGUCAAAGACUGGGGCUUAACCCUGGAAAGGCCGUGGAAACUGACGAGCUAGAGUGCAGUAGGGGUAGAGGGAAUUCCCGGUGUAGCGGUGAAAUGCGUAGAGCUCGGGAAGAACAUCGGUGGCGAAAGCGCUCUACUGGACUGCAACUGACACUCAGGGACGAAAGCUAGGGGAGCUAAUGGG